rfam:Myotis lucifugus cont2.31007, whole genome shotgun sequence.
GGCUUCCCUCUGCGGGGCAAUCGAUUGUGGGGUUCCACAAUCGAUCGCCAUGCAGAGGGAGGCC